UCUACGGGUGGCAGCAGUGGGGAAUAUUGGACAAUGGGGGCAACCCUGAUCCAGCCAUGCCGCGUGUGUGAAGAAGGCCCUCGGGUUGUAAAGCACUUUCAGUGAGGAAGAACGCCUGGUGGUUAAUACCCAUCAGGAAAGACAUCACUCACAGAAGAAGCACCGGCUAACUCCGUGCCAGCAGCCGCGGUAAUACGGAGGGUGCGAGCGUUAAUCGGAAUUACUGGGCGUAAAGCGCGCGUAGGUGGCUUGAUAAGCCGGUUGUGAAAGCCCCGGGCUCAACCUGGGAACGGCAUCCGGAACUGUCAAGCUAGAGUGCAGGAGAGGAAGGUAGAAUUCCCGGUGUAGCGGUGAAAUGCGUAGAGAUCGGGAGGAAUACCAGUGGCGAAGGCGGCCUUCUGGACUGACACUGACACUGAGGUGCGAAAGCGUGGGUAGCAAACAGGAUUAGAUACCCCAGUAGUC
rnacentral:rRNA from 1 species